ACGCGAAAGGCCCCUUCGGGGGCCGAGUAGAGUGGCGUCCGGGUGAGUAACACGUGAGUAAUUUGCCUUCGGGUGGGGAAUAACAACCGGAAACGGUUGCUAAUACCGCAUAAUGCAGCGGCAUCUAUGAUGACAGUUGUUAAAGCGGGGGAUUCGCAAGAACCUCGCGCCUGAAGAGAAGUCCGCGGCAGAUUAGCUAGUUGGUAGGGUAAUGGCCUACCAAGGCGACGAUCUGUAGCCGGCCUGAGAGGGCGGUCGGCCACACUGACACUGACAUACGGGUCAGACUCCUACGGGAGGCAGCAGUCGGGAAUUUUGGGCAAUGGGCGAAAGCCUGACCCAGCAACGCCGCGUGAAGGAUGAAGUUUUUCGGAAUGUAAACUUCACAAGAUUGGGAAGAAUAAGUCGGAGCUAAUACCUCCGACGAUGACGGUACCAUUUGUAAGCUCCGGCUAACUCCGUGCCAGCAGCCGCGGUAAUACGGGGGGAGCAAGCGUUGUUCGGAUUUACUGGGCGUAAAGGGCGCGUAGGCGGCGCCGCAAGUCACUUGUGAAAUCUCCGGGCUCAACUCGGAACGGCCAAGUGAUACUGCGGUGCUAGAGUGCGGAAGGGGCAACUGGAAUUCUUGGUGUAGCGGUGAAAUGCGUAGAUAUCAAGAGGAACACCUGCGGCGA
rnacentral:rRNA from 1 species